rnacentral:rRNA from 1 species
AGAGUUUGAUCAUGGCUCAGAUUGAACGCUGGCGGCAUGCCUUACACAUGCAAGUCGACGGUAGAGGGGGCAACCUCUCGAGAGUGGCGAACGGGUGAGUAAAGCAUCGGAACGUGCCAGUAGUGGGGGAUAGCCCGGCGAAAGCCGGAUUAAUACCGCAUACGACCUACGGGUGAAGGGGGGGAUCGCAAGACCUCUCGCUAUUGGAGCGGCCGAUGUCAGAUUAGGUAGUUGUGGGGUAAUGGCUCACCAAGGCGACGACGGGUAGCCGGCCUGAGAGGGCGACCGGCCACCUGGGACUGAGACACGGCCCAGACUCCUACGGGAGGCAGCAGUGGGGAAUAUUGGGCAAGGAGGAAACUCUGACCCAGCGACGCCGCGUGCGGGAUGAAGGCCUUCGGGUUGUAAACCCUUUCAGCAGGGAAGAAGCGAAAGUGACGGUACCUGCAGAAGAAGCACCGGCUAACUAUUGCCAGCAGCCGCGGUAA